rnacentral:tRNA from 1 species
UGCCGAGUAGACAAACUGGUAAAGUCGCCUGUCUCUGAAACAGGAGCUUCUGUAGGUAUCUGCUUCGCAGACGCUAACGCGAACAAAGCCUACCUCGGCAUCCA